rnacentral:rRNA from 1 species
UAGCUUGUUGGCGGGGUAACGGCCCCCCAAGGCUACGAUGGGUAGCUGGUCUGAGAGGAUGAUCAGCCACACUGGAACUGAAACACGGUCCAGACUCCUACGGGAGGCAGCAGUGGGGAAUAUUGCGCAAUGGGGGAAACCCUGACGGCAGCGAUGUCGUGUGAGGGAAGAAGGCCUUCGGGUCGUAAACCUCUGUCAGAAGGGAAGAACAUCCGGGAGUCGAACAGCCUCCCGGCCUGACGGUACCUUCAGAGGAAGCGCCGGCUAACUCCGUGCCAGCAGCCGCGGUAAUACGGAGGGCGCAAGCGUUUAUUCGGAAUCACUGGGCGUAAAGCGUGCGUAGGCUGUUUGAUAAGUCAGGCGUGAAAUCCCUCGGCUCAACCGGGGAACUGCGUUUGAUACUGUUGAACUAGAGUCCUGGAGAGGGUGUCGGAAUUCAUGGUGUAGGAGUGAAAUCCGUAGAUUUCAGGAGGAACACCGGUGGCGAAGGCGCCCCCCUGGCCAGGUACUGACGUUGAGGUACGAAAGCGUGGGGAGCAACCAGGAUUAGAUACCCUGGUAGUCCACCCGGUAAACGAUGGAUGCUAGGUGUCGGGGAGCGAUGUUCGGCGCUGCAGAUAACGCAUUAAGCAUCCCGCCUGGGGAGUACGGUCGCAAGGGUGAAAAUCAAAGGAAUUGACGGGGGCCCGCACAAGCGGUGGAGUACGUGGUUUAUUUUGAUGCAACGCGAAGAACCUUUCCUGGGUUUGACAUCCCUCGAAUUCCUCCGAAAAGAGGAAGUGCCCUUUGGGGAGUCCGGUCACAGGUGCUGCAUGGCUGUCGUCAGCUCGUGCCGUGAGGUGUUGGGUUAAGUCCCGCAACGAGCGCAACCCUUGUCUUUAGUUGCCAGCAGGUAAGGCUGGGCACUCUAGAGAGACCGCCUCGGUCAACGGGGAGGAAGGUGGGGACGACGUCAAGUCAUCAUGGCCCUUACGCCCAGGGCUACACACGUACUACAAUGGCGGAUACAAAGGGUUGCGAAGCCGCGAGGUGGAGCCAAUCCCAAAAAGUCCGUCUCAGUUCGGAUUGCAGUCUGCAACUCGACUGCAUGAAGUCUGGAAUCGCUAGUAA